AUGUAACGCUUGAGUACUGUUGACCUUGCGGAGGUGAUCCCUGUUGAUCCAGGAAGCCGUGCUGGGUCCUCCCCAGUGAUUUUGAUAGUAGCCAUCCUAAUGGGUAUGAGGUUAAGAAAAUCUGUGGUAGAGAGACAUCCCUGGGGGAGAUCCUGGGAACCUGACAGGUGGAAGCUACAGGAAAAGGUCGUUGGAUGAACUCAAGCCAUGGUGAGAGUCACUGAACAAGAUUUGCAAACCCUCUGUGUUCGCGCAGUCCGUGCUCUGCUGUCCCUCACUGCCCAUCCCCACUUCUCAGUCUUGACCUCCCAGUGCUCCCGAGAACGUCACCCUCUGGGUCACAUGGUCCCUUCUGGGAACCCCUCGCUGCAGAGCUGGUGAGGGGUUGCUCUGUCCGGAGGGCAACUGUCGGUCCCACUCCACUGUGAGAAACGAGGCUGAGAUCAGGAAGGGCCUUUCAAAGCCCCAGAAGUCAACCACACAGCCCUCUCAGCCACAUCUUGAAGCAUUUUUACUAUCAAGAAGUAUCUGCAUGCAAAUUUCAGAAUCUGUCUGCCAGUUCUUUUUGCAAAGAGUGUUGGAACCGUGGCAUGAAAGGAAAUCCAGAGAGACAGGGUAAUGGGUGUGGACGAUUGCUAAUGGGACCCUCAAGUCCCUGGGCUGUCAGCCCUGUCUCCCUUAAGUACACGUUUGGAGUUCAAGUUCAUCGAGAUGGAGCAGUGUUUUCCUCCUCAAGAUGGAAUCUGUCAAGUCAAAUUAUCUUUCCAAAAGAGUACCCCUUCUUAAAGGCCCACUUCUCCUGCAAGGUGUCUGCUGCUGUCCCCAGACUGGAGAUUCACUCUUCUGGAAUGAGCUCAAGAUGCUGCCUCCUGAGCUGGGACGGCUUCUACAGGCGGAAAAUAGAAGGUCUUCAGGAUUCAAAAGAGGUCCCCCAUCUUCCUUCAUCACAAAAGAAAAACCCCCGGACCGGGGACAUCGAAAGACAUGGGGGCCUCCGAGGCAAGUGCCCGCUGGGAUCUAGCAAGAUUGCCAAGAAGUUCCAACCUUUCCCACAUGUGCUAGAAGACAGGCUCCUGGUGAGGCAGAGGGAUAAACUCUUCAACCCCAACACCCCCAGGAGCCUGGGCGGUCUCCACCUGCCCUGGCCUGCAUGGCUCCUCAGACCUAUGGAAUCGUCUGUGGUCCCAGGUCGGUGGAAGAGGAUGGAGCGGGCAGAGCAGGACCUUGUCUGUUCCUUUCUCACCAUAGCAACGCUUUUCCCUGGAGGUGGGAAGCCCUCUCUGGCCAUUGCUGGCUUCUCCGUGCAGAGCGUCCUCGGGGUCAGCGGUGGAGAGAUGCAAACUGCUCCCUCUGAGAGGCCAGGGACGAUGAACAGUAGGUGA
rnacentral:lncRNA from 1 species